rnacentral:lncRNA from 1 species
UCCACUUGAGCCUUCCGGAGGAGUCCUCCGGUGCUGCCCGCGAAGAUCGGGGACGGGGUGCUGGGGUCGAGCUCGGGUGGGGAGAAUCCGGCCGGAGCCUCGACAGAAGUCUCGGCUUCGGCGGAGACCUUGAAAGAGCGGGAAGAGGAGGCGGCCUUGAGGUGGGGCUUGGAGGUGAGGAAGGAGAGAGUUGAGGAUUGCUUCCAUGGAAUGGAAAUGCCGGUGGAUUUGGGAGUGGAGAGAGAUGGGGUGAAGAGGGUGGCUUGAGUGGCCAUGGCCAUGGGAUUUGGAGCAGAGGAAGAGGAUUGGGAAUG